GACGAACUGAGCGAACGUUGUUCGGAAUCACUGGGCUUAAAGGGCGCGUAGGCGGGUGACUAAGUCUGUGGUGAAAUCCGGCAGCUUAACUGUCGAAUUGCCAUGGAUACUGGUUGUCUCGAGGGAGGCAGGGGUGCGCGGAACUAAUGGUGGAGCGGUGAAAUGCGUUGAUAUCAUUAGGAACUCCGGUGGCGAAGGCGGCGCACUGGUCCUCUUCUGACGCUGAGGCGCGAAAGCCAGGGGAGCAAACGGG
rnacentral:rRNA from 1 species